rnacentral:rRNA from 1 species
CGAACGUUAGCGGCGCGCCUAACACAUGCAAGUCGCACGAGAAACGGGGGCAACCCCCGGUACAGUGGCGCACGGGUGAGUAACACGUAGAUGACCUUCCCUGGAGUGGUGGAUAACCUGCCGAAAGGCGGGCUAAUACAUCAUGGGACCACAUGGUUUUGACCGAGUGGUGAAAGCGGGCCUCUGUUCACAAGCUCGCGCUCUGGGGAUGGGUCUGCGGCCCAUCAGCUAGUUGGUGAGGUAACGGCUCACCAAGGCAACGACGGGUAGCUGGUCUGAGAGGAUGACCAGCCACACUGGAACUGAGACACGGUCCAGACUCCUACGGGAGGCAGCAGUGGGGAAUCUUGCGCAAUGGGCGAAAGCCUGACGCAGCGACGCCGCGUGGGUGAUGAAGGCCCUCGGGUUGUAAAGCCCUGUGGGGAGGAACGAACCGUUCGGGGGUGAAUAUCCUUCGGGCUUGACGGUACCUCCUUAGCAAGCAUCGGCUAACUCUGUGCCAGCAGCCGCGGUAAGACAGAG